rnacentral:rRNA from 1 species
UACGAAGGGGGCUAGCGUUGUUCGGAUUUACUGGGCGUAAAGCGCACGUAGGCGGAUCGUUAAGUCGGGGGUGAAAUCCUGGAGCUCAACUCUAGAACUGCCUUUGAUACUGAGGAGCUUGAGUCCGGGAGAGGUGAGUGGAACUGCGAGUGUAGAGGUGAAAUUCGUAGAUAUUCGCAAGAACACCAGUGGCGAAGGCGGCUCACUGGCCCGGUACUGACGCUGAGGUGCGAAAGCGUGGGGAGCAAACAGG